rnacentral:rRNA from 1 species
AUGGCCACCUGCCUCUCUGAUAUGAUUAGUGACCAUUCUGUAGAUUUCCUGGGUCUGCAAGAGACCAUGAAGAAAAACUUUUCCCCUCGUUGUUUGAGGAAAAUUGAUCCCUUUAGCAUUUUCAGUUGGAACUGGACUCCCUCUGUUGGGAAGUCCGGGGGUAUCUUAUGUGGUAUUAGGAAUGAUAAUCUGGAUAUCGUCUCCUGUGAUAAGGGCAAACAUAUAUUACAGCUAGUGCUGUACGAUAAGAAGAAGAAAACCAAUUGGGGUCUACUAAUAGUCUAUGGAUCUGCUCAUGAGGAAAUGAAGGAAGAAUUCCUUAUUGAGCUUGCCACGAUGUGUGGCUGU